UACGUAGGGUGCGAGCGUUGUCCGGAAUUAUUGGGCGUAAAGAGCUUGUAGGCGGUUUGUCGCGUCUGCUGUGAAAACUCAGGGCUUAACCCUGAGCCUGCAGUGGGUACGGGCAGGCUAGAGUGUGGUAGGGGAGACUGGAAUUCCUGGUGUAGCGGUGGAAUGCGCAGAUAUCAGGAGGAACACCGAUGGCGAAGGCAGGUCUCUGGGCCACUACUGACGCUGAGAAGCGAAAGCAUGGGGAGCGAACAGG
rnacentral:rRNA from 1 species